GGCGCUUGAACAUGACGUCAACGUCUGUAUAAAAAGCGCCCUCUUUCUUCGUCACAUCCUCUUUCCGUUGCUCCUCUCGCUUCGAGAAUCUUCUCCACACGAUGAGAGCCAAGUGGAGGAAGAAGCGUAUGCGCAGGCUGAAGCGUAAAAGGAGAAAGAUGAGGCAGAGGUCAAAGUAAGCCCUCAUCCCUGCCAGCUGAGAUCCUGUCUGAGCCUCUCCAGAUGACUGACGCAUGUGGCUGAAGUGGAGCCUCCAUCAGCGGAACAAAGCCCAAGUCCUGAUUUCAGAUGACGGUGCGUCUCAUGGAGCCUGCUGUGAAUGUCUCUCUGGUAGAGGUGAAGACGCUGGACAUCUGAACUACAGCUGCUUGUUCACAGACCAUAAUACUUUGUUUUAACAACUGUCUUGUGGUGGUGUAUUGAACAAUAAAUGGAACACUCGUUUAAAAUUU